ACAAUUUUAAUUAUUUAAUUAAUAUUUUCUAUUUUUGCCUCCCCUCCGUGCGAAACAUAUCCCAAUCCAAUAUCUCCCAACCCAGUCGUGACCUACCGCCAGCCCCAAACCAAAACUUCGCCGUCAGAGACCACUGCCGUUUUAGGGUUUUGAAGGCUUUGAUUCGAAGAACGGUAUUAAUGGAGGUUUUGGUGGACUGACUGACUAUAUUAGGGUUUUGGCAUUCUGGGUAUUGAAAAGUUUAAGGGUUUGUGUGAGUUCCAGUAAUUUGUGGAAAUUAAGGUUUAAUGGCCGACCGUAAUACUGCGCUUGCUAAACCUAUAUGGAUGAAGCAAGCGGAAGAGGCGAAGCUCAAGAGUGAGGCUGAGAAAGCCGCAGCUGCAAAAGCUGCUUUCGAAGCCACAUUCAAAGACGUAGAGAAAAACCGUGAAAGGGAACCGGCUUUAUCUGAUAGUGAAUCCGAAGAAGCUGAGGACUUGGCAAACAAGCCGAUUGGGCCUGUGGACCCUGCAAAGUGCACCGCAGCUGGGGCUGGCAUAGCGGGUGGCACCGCAUGUGCCCCAUCUUCAUUUAUGGUGGUAACGAAAGAUGUAGAUGGGAGGAAGGUGCCCAAUGGGGGUGCACAGAUUAAGGUGAAGGUGUCACCCGGGGUGGGUGUUGGUGGAUCGGAGCAAGAAGGGAUUGUGAAGGAUAUGAGUGAUGGGACGUAUACGGUUUCUUAUGUGGUGCCAAAGAGAGGGAAUUAUAUGGUGAAUGUUGAGUGCAAUGGGAAACCCAUCAUGGGUAGCCCGUUCCCGGUGUUCUUCAGUGCAGGUACUAGUACUGGAGGACUGCUGGGUUUGGCUCCUCCCUCCACAUUCCCAAAUCUAGUUAAUCAAACUAUGCCCAACAUGCCAAAUUAUUCAGGGUCUGUCUCAGGGGCGUUUCCAGGAUUAUUGGGAAUGAUUCCAGGCAUAGUACCCGGUGCCUCGGGGGGUGCUAUUUUGCCUGGAAUUGGUGCAUCUCUCGGGGAAGUUUGUCGAGAAUACCUUAAUGGUCGGUGUGUCAAAUCUGAUUGUAAGUUGAACCACCCACCCCACAGUUUGCUAAUGACUGCAUUAGCUGCAACGACAUCAAUGGGGACUGUCAGUCAAGUUCCCAUGGCACCAUCUGCAGCUGCGAUGGCUGCUGCUCAGGCAAUUGUUGCUGCACAAGCCCUUCAAGCCCAUGCAGCUCAGCUGCAAGCACAAGCGAAGUCAGCCAAAGAGUCAUCUGGUUCACCUGAUAAAGCUGGGAAGGCUGAUGUACUGAAGAAAACACUUCAAGUUAGCAACCUUAACCCACUUCUCACAGUGGAACAACUUAAACAACUCUUCAGCUUUUGUGGGACUGUUGUUGAAUGUACAAUUACUGAUUCAAAGCAUUUUGCUUACAUAGAAUACUCAAAACCUGAAGAAGCAACUGCAGCUUUGGCAAUGAAUAAUAUGGAUGUUGGAGGUCGCCCUUUGAAUGUUGAAAUGGCAAAAUCUCUUCCUCAAAAACCAGCUCUUUUGAAUUCUUCACUGGCGUCAUCUUCUCUGCCCAUGAUGAUGCAGCAAGCUGUUGCCAUGCAGCAGAUGCAAUUCCAGCAAGCUUUGCUUAUGCAACAAACUAUGAAUGCUCAGCAGGCGGCAAACCGAGCUGCAACUAUGAAGUCUGCAACAGAGUUAGCUGCUGCCAGAGCUGCAGAAAUAAGUAAGAAAUUAAAAGCUGAUGGACUUGUAAAUGAGGAGAAGGAAACGGACAGAAAAUCAAGGUCACCAUCCACCUCUCGCGCAAAGUCAAGGUCCAAGUCAAGAUCACCAAUCAAUUAUCGACGAAGGCAGAGGUCUCGUUCUUACUCGCCUCAAUUCCGCUACCCAAGGGAUCAUAGAUCCAGAUCUCCAGUGAGAUCUCGCCAUAAUUUCAGCUAUGAUGAUGAAAGGCGGUCAUAUAGAAACAUCCGAGAUGGUAGUGACAGAACUAGAAGGCAAGAUUCAGCAAGAUCUCUUAGGGAUUCUGAAAGAUCACAUGAUCGUCAUUCAUCUGCUUCAAGGAGAAAUAGGAGAAGUGUUAGCCCUCUAACAAGAAAAUCAUAUCGAGAUGAUUCAGUCUCACCAAAACGUAACCAAGAAAGUUCACUGCAUAGAUCAAGGAAAUCAUCUUAUGCACGUUCAAGAUCACCCACUCAUCACAGAGGAGGUAGGUCAUCUACAAGAAUUGAUGAUGAAAACAAAUCAAAGCACAGAAAACGGUCUAGAUCGAAAUCAGCUGAAAGUAAGCAUCAGUCUGCUGACAAAACAGAUGAGUCUCGAGAUGAAAAAUCAAAGCAUCGUGACAGAGGGCGGUCGAGGUCGGUAUCUGCAGAAGGUAAGCAUCAUAGAAGCUCCAGGUCAUCCCCAAGAAGUUUGGAAGAAAAUAAAUAUAAGCACAGAAGGCGGUCCAGGUCUCAGUCUUUAGAAGGUAAACAUCACUCCAGUGAGAAAUUGGACGAAUCCAGAGAUGAUAAACCAAAACAUCGUAAUAGAAGGCGUUCUAGGUCAAAGUCUCUGGAAGGUAAGCACCACUCUGUUGGGAAGGUGAAUGAAACAAGAGAUGAAAAAUCUAAACACCGUGAAAGAAGGCGGUCCAGAUCAAGAUCUGUAGAAGGUAAGCGAUACUCCAAGGGGAAAGCAGAUGAAAGCAGGGACAGAAAAUCAAAGCAUCGUGAUAGAAGACGGUCAAGGUCAGUGUCUGUGGAGGCUAAGCAUCAUAGAGGAAGCAGGUCAUCCCCAAGAGGUUUACAUGAUAGUAAAUCAAAACAUAGGAGGCGCUCUAGGUCAAAUUCUGCUGAAAGGAAGCAUCGGCCCCAUGAUAGAGCAGAUGAGAGUAGAGCUGAAAAAUCAAAGCAUCAUGAGAGUUCACAGUCCAGGUCAAGAUCAGCAGAACACAAACAUUAUAGAGGCAGUAGUUUGUCGCCGAUAAGUUUGGAGGAAAAUAAAUCAAAAUACAUGAGGCAAUCUAGGUCUGAAUCUGCUGAAGGGAAGCUUCAUUCAGAUGAUGGAAGGGAUGAAAACAGUGGUGAAAUUUUAAAGCCUUCUGAAGAUGCUGAAAAGGAACCAGGUUCCAGCUUGAAGGGUUCAACGAGAAUGAAUGACAAUGGGAUGCUAAUUGCAAAACAUGAGGAUUGUAACUCGAAGGAAUCAAUGGAAAGUAUGGCAGUGGAAGAUGACCAGGAUCUGAAAAGCACAUAUUUGACGAAUGUUGACAGUGGAGGAGGUUCAAUGUUGGAAAGUUUUAGAGUCUGCUUGGAUGCAGGGGAGCUAAGGGAACAUGAAGUGUCUACUACUGUGCAUUCAGAGCUAGGUGCAUCUAGAAUGGGAGAUCAAAAUAAUUGUGAGAAGCCAACUAAUGUGGACAGUGACAGAAUUUGCUCAAUCCAGAACCUGGAUUACAUUAAUGAUGAUUCAGAAUUCAUGAUUGGAGACAAGUCUUCAAUUUCCCCAGUGCUGAAGGCUCACCAGAGAAGCUCCGUCUCACCUGAGGCAGAGAUGGUUUCCAGUGCAGAAGAUAUAAACUGAUGCUAGAAGUUUAACAUGGGCCAUGGAAUUGCUUUUGAUUUAAGACUUUCCAUGCUGAGUGAUGGGUGGAAUUUCUUGGACAAAAGCUGUCAACUCUCAGAAGCUUGUUUCCAUGAAAGAUUGCUUAGUGUUUCUUUGGUGCUCAGAAUUUUCUGCCGGUUAGUGGUUCUUUAUAAACACGCUUUCUGUGUUUGUUUCUUGUUUGCAGGUCCUUGUGUAAUAGACCGGAACUAUAGUCCUGAAGCUGGUCUUGCUGUGGUUUAAUAAAUUCAAGAAGUGUCAUGCUUUCAUCCACAAUCGGCCAUGCAAUGUUUGUAACAAGCUUCUUUUACUGCUUGAUGUAUCAUGGUGAUUUUUCAUUGGAGCUUUCUGACAUUCAGUUUGACAGGAUUGAUUUUCUCUGAUGUAAAUGAAGAUGUCUUGGUUAGGUAAAGGUACUCUUAAGGUCAACCAAAACCAGAUGUUGCUGGAUGAAUUGCAUCAAAAUUCCUGUGAUGAGCAUGAGCAGAUUGCCAGGCUCACUUUACAGUCUUUGCUUAAAACUUGUGGUGAAAUGCGAAUGUUGAUUUUUAUCAGGUAAUUUUACAUGCAGCUGCUGGGUUGAGUUGGGUUUUCUUUAUAGAAGCUUCAGUUGUGUUUGUGCAUAUGGUUAUUUCUUUGGUGCUAAACUGUGCCAUGUACCCGACUUAAUCACGAUGGAUAGCUGGAAUUUUACUGCUUUUAUCUUUUUAUAAUUCAAAAUUCUACGCUUUACUUUAA